rnacentral:rRNA from 1 species
ACCCUAAGGUAGGGCUUUCCCUUCGGGGCACAGAGUGACAGGUGGUGCAUGGUUGUCGUCAGCUCGUGUCGUGAGAUGUUGGGUUAAGUCCCGCAACGAGCGCAACCCUUGAUCUUAGUUGCCAGCAUUUAGUUGGGCACUCUAAGGUGACUGCCGGUGACAAACCGGAGGAAGGUGGGGAUGACGUCAAAUCAUCAUGCCCCUUAUGACCUGGGCUACACACGUGCUACAAUGGACAGAACAAAGGGCUGCGAGACCGCAAGGUUUAGCCAAUCCCACAAAUCUGUUCUCAGUUCGGAUCGCAGUCUGCAACUCGACUGCGUGAAGCUGGAAUCGCUAGUAAUCGCGGAUCAGCAUGCCGCGGUGAAUACGUUCCCGGGCCUUGUACACACCG